AGGAUCUGCUGGUGGGGGCGGGGAAGGGACGUCUCUGUUGAGCCGGGAUUUGGGCCCCUGUCCCCGACGGACCCAUCAAGUGCAAGAUGACUGUGCGCAGGGUGAGUGAAGGAGGGGACCUUGUUCGUACCCAUGUACCCAUCCCAUUUCCACCCCGCGACUGAUCUUAGCGAUGGCGAAGGUUUCCAGACACGUGGAAACCCCAGGAUCGCGACCUCUGCUUCUUUCCCGAGUCUUUUCAGCAGAACACUAUUUUCCAAGUUCAUCACUCAUAACGUCUGCCUGCCUAUUCAAGCCUGGCCCGACAAAAGAGUAAAAGCAAAACAAGCAGGCAACACCAAACAGUCCGCGAGUUACCUCUCAUCUCCCUCCCCUCCUUUCCUUUAACUUCGCUGUAUGAUUUCCAGAGCGCUUUCAUCUACAUUGGUUCCUUUCAUUUUCAGACAUCUGUGACUUAAAUGUUAUUAUCUCCACUUUGCAGAACUUGAAGCUAAGCCGCAGAGAUAGAUAUUAAAUAAAGGACCCCAAAUCAACAGGCUGGAUCCCAUUGUAAUAAUCAACCUUGAUAGUCUGUAAUUGAUGAUUUGACAUCUUGAAGUCACGCCAAAACUGUUGACGUCCCUACCACCCCUGUGGUUUUACAGCACACAGAAAUCAUAUUACUAACCUUCCAACUACUAAAUAAAGAAGUGGUGGGGAGUUGUCUGGUGGGGAUGUCCCCUACUUAGCAGGAAGCAAAUACAGAUGUUGGAGUUCGUGUUGGAAGAGCCUCCUGAUGUUCUGGGUUUGUCCAGUUGGCUGAAGAAAUUGCCCACACCUUUGACCUAGAAAAACAAAGAGUCUAGACCAGCACUGUCCAAUAUGGAUGUCACCAGCCACAUGAGGUGAUUGAGCACUUGGAAUGUGGCUAGUCAUGUACAAUAUUGUAAAAUACACACCGGAUAUUGAAGACAAUAUGAAGAAAAGAAUGUAAAAUAUCUCACUAAUUUUUUUAAAAUAUAUGUCAAACGAUGAUGAUAGUUUUGAUAUACUGGGUUAAAGGAAGUAUAUUUUACCAUUAAAAAUAAAUUAUAAAU